rnacentral:rRNA from 1 species
AGGCAGCAGCAGGGAAUCUUGUCCAAUGGGCGCAAGCCUGAGACAGCGACGCCGCGUGGGGGAUGAAGGCCUUCGGGUUGUAAACCCCUUUCAGGAGGGACGAAAUUGACGGUACCUCCAGAAGAAGCCCCGGCCAACUACGUGCCAGCAGCCGCGGUAAUACGUAGGGGGCAAGCGUUGUCCGGAAUUAUUGGGCGUAAAGGGCUCGUAGGCGGCUUGGCAAGUCGGCCGUGAAAGCCCGGGGCUUAACCCCGGGAUGCCGGUCGAUACUGCCAUGGCUUGGGUCCGGUAGAGGAGAACGGAAUUCCCGGUGUAGCGGUGAAAUGCGCAGAUAUCGGGAGGAACACCAAUAGCGAAGGCAGUUCUCUGGGCCGGUACCGACGCUGAGGAGCGAAAGCGUGGGGAGCAAACAGGAUUAGAUACCCUGGUAGUCCACGCCGUAAACGUUGGGCACUAGGUGUGGCGGACUCAUCAACGUUCGCCGUGCCGAAGCUAACGCAUUAAGUGCCCCGCCUGGGGAGUACGGCCGCAAGGCUAAAACUCAAAGGAAUUGACGG